GACGAACGCUGGCGGCGUGCCUAAUACAUGCAAGUCGAGCGAUGAAGCUUGGUGCUUGCACCCAUUUGAAGAGCAGCGAACGAGUGAGUAACGCGUGGGUAAUCUGCCUUUGAGCGGGGGACAACAUCUGGAAACGAAUGCUAAUACCGCAUAACAACUUUAAACAUAAGUUUUAAGUUUGAAAGAUGCAAUUGCAUCACUCAAAGAUGAUCCCGCGUUGUAUUAGCUAGUUGGUGAGGUAAAGGCUCACCAAGGCGAAGGUACAUAGCCGGCCCGAAAGGGGGGAUCGGCCACAUGGGAAUGGGGACACGCCCAAGCCCCCUACGGGAGGAGGAAGAGGGGAAUUUUGGAAAAUGGGGGAAAGCCUAACGGAGCAAGCCCGCGUGGGUGAGGAAGGUCUCCGGAUGGAAAAACCCGUUGGUUGGGAAAGAAGAUGGGGAGAGUGAAACGCUCAUGAAGUGACGGUACCUACCCAGAAAGCGACGGCUAACUACGUG
rnacentral:rRNA from 1 species